CAUCUGGAAACAAACCAAUUAAAAUGUAUUAAGGAUAGAGCAGUGAUCAAGUCUAUAUUUUUACAAAUAGAAAUAAAUUAGAAAUUGCAUCAAAUUAAUUAAUGAAUAAUUAUUAUUAAACGAGAAUCCCAAUAAAAUGCUGUAAUCUUUGAUUAAAAUGAGCGCUGCUAUCCAGAGAUUGUCAGUUUGGUGUAAGGGUGAGCAUUCCUGACUAGCAAUGAGGAGGUACCGGGUUUGAUUCCCGGGCUGGCAGAUAAUUUUUGGAUAGUAGUGAUCAUCGAAUUUCCAUCUAGCUGUUAACCCUGUUGUGAAUAUUUGCAGUAGCAGUCAUCUUUGGGAUCACCCCAAACUGCUGUUCCAACCUUGAGCGGCCGGCCGACACCACAUUGAGAGCAGUAAAUCCUACUCCGGUCCUCUCCAAACGCUGACUGAGGUUAGCCGGACCAGGGUGACCCUGGGAAUUCUUGUAAAGCUGUCCUGAUGAAGAAAAUGGCGACCCAGCGCUAUUCUCAGCGAAAUUGUCUGACUGUGUUUAUUGCAUACAAAGACUUGGGUUGGUUGUGUCAGGACUCUGAUGAGAAGUGUCUCACUCUAUCCAAACAGAACUUCAUUGCGCAACUGAUGAGACAGUUUCAGCGUUUCAUUACAUCAAUCCUCAAUAUCUAGGUGGAAGCAAGUGAGGAGACACAAGCAAGAGCUCUGCUCCUUCUGCGCAGAGUUGUCAACAGUGAUGCCCAGUUCUAUUCUCAGUUUUUCUCGCGAGAACAAGAUGGUGUGCUAGCAUGCCAUCACCAUGCAAAUCGGGCCUCCAUAUUCUCAAGGUUAGACAUGUGUUUCUUCAUAAUUUAUUACUAGCAGACUUUCUGUGAACAUAGACUUGGCGCAGUUAUAAACCACAGCGUCCUCUAAUACUGUUCAUCAGAGUAAAUUCUAUCCUGUCUUGUGUCGGCGAGAUAUCUGUGCGAAAACGUUUACCGUAUUGUCUGAUUGGGUUGAAAAGUUUUAAAAAUUUGGUACUAUGGGAUAUGUUUUUUAAUAACCAAACAAGUAUCCCUAAUAGUCCAGUCAAUAUAGACAUAAGAAAGGGGUGUGCUUGCAAUUUAUAUUGUAGUUCUGAUUUUUUAAUAUAUUAUUAGGGUACAUAAGAGAAGUCCAGAACCAAUUUCUCCAUGCAAA